UAAAUGUCAGCAGCCUGCCAUAUAACAUGCUAUCUCAUAUCAUAUCUCACUCCCCUCUCUCUUACUUUCUUUUCUUUUUUUCUCUCUGACUGAGCAAUUAAUCAUAAACCAGCGUGACACUCUAAUGGUGACUCCUCGGGUCAGACUAAAGUUCAGUACAUUUUAUGGUAAGAUACGGAUGCUAAAUUCCAGGCAGUGGUGUGGCCUGGACAAGUUUCUGAGCUCUCACUUUUCUGAGAAGUGGAUUCCACCAUUCGGUUCUGAAACAACUUCUCCAACAAGCGAGAACAAAGUGCAGGAGUUCCCUGGGCCGAAUUCAGCCAUGUGCACCACAACAAUGGUCCUGAUCUCGCUGGGGUUGCUGCUGUACCGAUGCUUCUGCAACAGAGCCCAACUGCAGACUGACUCUCAUGGAGAGAACGAGACCCCGAAGACCAGCAGUGAAAGAGACACCGGGGGAAAUGAAGACAUUCAAUGAUGUGGCUCGAUCU